rfam:Canis lupus familiaris chromosome 1, whole genome shotgun sequence.
AGCUUUGCACGGUGGCAGUAUCAUAGCCAAUGAGGUUUAUUCAAAGCAUGAUUAUUGCUAAUAGAAAAUAUGUAAUAGAUCUAGGACAGUGAAAUAAACUAACAAGAAGGGAAAGAUUUAAGAUCUUUUGAAAGA